rnacentral:rRNA from 1 species
CCUACGGGGGGCUGCAGUGGGGAAUAUUGGACAAUGGGGGGAACCCUGAUCCGGCCAUGCCGCGUGUGUGAAGAAGGCCCUCGGGUUGUAAAGCACUUUCAGUGAGGAAGAACGCCUGGUGGUUAAUACCCAUCAGGAAGGACAUCACUCACAGAAGAAGCACCGGCUAACUCCGUGCCAGCAGCCGCGGUAAUACGGAGGGUGCGAGCGUUAAUCGGAAUUACUGGGCGUAAAGCGCGCGUAGGUGGCUUGAUAAGCCGGUUGUGAAAGCCCCGGGCUCAACCUGGGAACGGCAUCCGGAACUGUCAAGCUAGAGUGCAGGAGAGGAAGGUAGAAUUCCCGGUGUAGCGGUGAAAUGCGUAGAGAUCGGGAGGAAUACCAGUGGCGAAGGCGGCCUUCUGGACUGACACUGACACUGAGGUGCGAAAGCGUGGGUAGCAAACAGGAUUAGAUACCCCUGUAGUC